UACGUAGGGACCAAGCGUUGUUCGGAUUUACUGGGCGUAAAGGGCGCGUAGGCGGCAAUUCAAGUCAUCUGUGAAAUCUCCGGGCUUAACCCGGAACGGUCAGGUGAUACUGUUUUGCUAGAGUGCGGAAGGGGCAAUCGGAAUUCUCGGUGUAGCGGUGAAAUGCGUAGAUAUCGAGAGGAACACCAGAGGUGAAGACAGGUUGCUGGGCCGACACUGACGCUGACAGCGCGAAAGCCAGGGGAGCAAACGGG
rnacentral:rRNA from 1 species